CCCUAGUAACGGCGAGUGAAGCGGCAACAGCUCAAAUUUGAAAUCUGGCUCUCGGGCCCGAGUUGUAAUUUGUAGAGGAUGCUUUUGAUGCGGUGCCUUCCGAGUUCCCUGGAACGGGACGCCAUAGAGGGUGAGAGCCCCGUCUGGUUGGAUGCCAAAUCUCUGUAAAGCUCCUUCGACGAGUCGAGUAGUUUGGGAAUGCUGCUCUAAAUGGGAGGUAUAUGUCUUCUAAAGCUAAAUACCGGCCAGAGACCGAUAGCGCACAAGUAGAGUGAUCGAAAGAUGAAAAGCACUUUGAAAAGAGAGUUAAAAAGUACGUGAAAUUGUUGAAAGGGAAGCGUUUAUGACCAGACUUGGGCUUGGUUAAUCAUCUGGGGUUCUCCCCAGUGCACUUUUCCAGUCCAGGCCAGCAUCAGUUUUCGCCGGGGGAUAAAGGCUUCGGGAAUGUGGCUCCCUCCGGGGAGUGUUAUAGCCCGUUGCGUAAUACCCUGGCGGGGACUGAGGUUCGCGCUUCUGCAAGGAUGCUGGCGUAAUGGUCAUCAACGACCCGUCUUGAAACACGGACCAAGGAGUCGUCUUCGUAUGCGAGUGUUCGGGUGUCAAACCCCUACGCGUAAUGAAAGUGAACGCAGGUGAGAGCUUCGGCGCAUCAUCGACCGAUCCUGAUGUUCUCGGAUGGAUUUGAGUAAGAGCAUACGGGGCCGGACCCGAAAGAAGGUGAACUAUGCCUGUGUAGGGUGAAGCCAGAGGAAACUCUGGUGGAGGCUCGCAGCGGUUCUGACGUGCAAAUCGAUCGUCAAACAUGGGCAUGGGGGCGAAAGACUAAUCGAACCUUCUAG
rnacentral:rRNA from 1 species